CAAGUCGCACGAGAAAGUCCUUCGGGAUGAGUAGAGUGGCGCACGGGUGAGUAAUACAUGGGAACGUGCCUCUGAAUGGGGGAUAACUACGGGAAACUGUAGCUAAUACCGCAUAGUAACGGAAGUUUAAAGCUGGCCUCUAUUUAUAAGCUAGUGUUCAGAGAUCGGCCCAUGUCCCAUUAGCUAGUUGGCGGGGUAAAAGCCCACCAAGGCGACGAUGGGUAGCUGGUCUGAGAGGACGAUCAGCCACACUGGAACUGAGACACGGUCCAGACUCCUACGGGAGGCAGCAGUGGGGAAUUUUGCACAAUGGGGGAAACCCUGAUGCAGCAAUGCCGCGUGAGUGAAGAAGGCCUUUGGGUUGUAAAGCUCUUUCGGCUGAGAAGAAGGGCAGUAUGGCUAAUAUCCAUAUUGUUUGACGGUAUCAGAAGAAGAAGCACCUGCUAACUUCGUGCCAGCAGCAGCGGUAAUACGAAGGGUGCAAGCGUUGUUCGGAAUUACUGGGCGUAAAGGGCGCGUAGGCGGGUUUGUAAGUCGAAUGUGAAAUCCCCGGGCUUAACCUGGGACGUGCAUUCGAUACUGCUAAUCUUGAAUGCUUGAGAGGGUGGUGGAAUUCCUAGUGUAGAAGUGAAAUUCGUAGAUAUUAGGAGGAACACCUGAGGCGAAGGCGGCCACCUGGCAAGACAUUGACGCUAAGGCGCGAAAGUGCGGGGAGCAAACAGGAUUAGAUACCCUGGUAGUCCGCACCAUAAACGAUGGAUACUAGAUGUUUGGAGAAUUAACCCUCUGAGUAUCAAAGUUCACACAUUAAGUAUCCCGCCUGGGGAGUACGGCCGCAAGGCUGAAACUCAAAGGAAUUGACGG
rnacentral:rRNA from 1 species